CACGUAGGCGGGUUGCUAAGUCGGGGGUGAAAUCCUGGAGCUCAACUCCAGAACUGCCUUCGAUACUGGCGAUCUUGAGUCCGGGAGAGGUGAGUGGAACUGCGAGUGUAGAGGUGAAAUUCGUAGAUAUUCGCAAGAACACCAGUGGCGAAGGCGGCUCACUGGCCCGGUACUGACGCUGAGGUGCGAAAGCGUGGGGAGCAAACGGGAUUAGAUACCCUGGUAGUCCACGCUGUAAACGAUGGAUGCUAGCCGUUGGCGAGCUUGCUCGUCAGUGGCGCAGCUAACGCUUUAAGCAUCCCGCCUGGGGAGUACGGUCGCAAGAUUAAA
rnacentral:rRNA from 1 species